UUAGGGAAAAAUAUAUUAAAACUUGUUUGACUUUUGAAUGGAGACUUUGAGGCUGAGUAGGCCGCGGGUAAAACGCGUCCUGUUCGACGUUCGACGACGCCCGUUUGAUUGGUACGCUUUGAUCUCCGCCAUAUUCAGUCCCUUAAAUGAUAGAGGUCGUACAGAAGGGAUAUCGCAUUGCCAUCGCAGCCAUCGGCGACAACGGUCAUCAGGUUGUGAUCCAGGUUUCGCUUCUGCAGCCGCUUUAGCAUCUUCUUUAAGGCGCUGAGGAUCUCCAUGUUUUCCAUCUGUUGGACUCUCAGCGACGCCACAGUCGGUCUGCUGUCAACCAAAAAAUCGGCUUCCUGUAGUCCUCCAGGAGUACAAAUAGGUUUGAUUUUCCCUCGCUCCAGUUUCCGUUUCUGGUUGGGCUGCCUAACAUGGUUGUACGUCUCAUUGAUGUCCCUUCUUCGUGCUCGGUGCCCUCAGUUCAAUAUUGCUAUUCGAAAAGGGAGUACUGAACCUAUUCUAGUCCAAUAUAUAUAUACAUAGCUCGAAUCAUUUUGGAUUUUGGCGAUUUUCUUAAAAAACCUUUAUUUGCUGUGAUUUUACAUGAGCUUUGGUGACAACAGACCUAUAGUCUCUGAAAACGAGGCGUCAAACAAGACAGACGGACAUACAGAUAAACAGACAGACUAUUGACAUACCAAUCGGAACCAAUUCUAUAUUUGCACUUUAAAAGUUGAUUACGAAAUCGAGGAUGUGAUUCAGAUCCCAUUUCAGAUCCAGAAGAGCUUCAGAGAACAUUUCGAUAGAGCCCCCAAUUGCUGAUAAUUUCUCUCAAUCGUCGACGACAGAAUGAAGGAUCAAAGCAAAGGCACGGAGCAAAAAAUGCCAAAGAGUCGUACAAUGCACAAUCGCAAAAUUCAGCCGAAGCUUGACAUCCAGCUUCACCGACGCCGCCACCACCUCGAUAGAGUCAUCCGGACAAACGGCUUCGUGCAUUGAAUUAUCACAUCGCUGAUACUCUUGUGGACAAUUUUGGUUAAAUACCAGCAUUUGGUAUUUGUUGGUAUUUGACAACAUGGUGCCACUUUUCCCACUGGCGCCAAAUAAUAAAAUUGCCGUUGAUGUUCUUAAAACUGCCGUCGGUGGUUACUUAAAUUCCGGGCGGUGCUAAGGAAGCAAGAAUUUAAUAAAUAUUUCAAUAUUUCGGCGCGGCCCGCCAGUUCAUUGAA